UGUGAGAACACCCUUAAAUCCCUUCAAGGGAUAAGGAGCCGGUAUCAGGCACAAAAUUAGCCCAAGACACCUAGCUAUGCCACAUCCACACGGAAUUUCAGCAGUGAUUAACAUUGUAAAUGAGCGUCAGCUCGAACCAGUUAAAGUAAAGAGAACCGGCAAAUCUGGUGCCAGCCGCCGCGGUUACACCAUGUGGCUCAAACUGACUUCCUCCGGCGUAAAGCGUGAUUAAAGCAUUAUAUUCUACUGCAAUUAAACUAGAAUUAAGCUGUGACACGCUUAUUACUAGGAAAUUCACAAACGAAAGUCAUUGCAAUUUUAGCUUGAACUCACGACAGCUAGAAAACAAACUGGGAUUAGAUACCCCACUAUGUCUAGCCGUAAACUUUUAAUUACAUCUUCAUCGCCAGGGAACUACGAGCAAAGCUUAAAACCCAAAGGACUUGACGGUACCCCACAUCCACCUAGAGGAGCCUGUCCUAUAAUCGAUAACCCCCGCUAAACCUCACCAUUUUUAGCUUAUCAGCCUGUAUACCUCCGUCGUCAGCUUACCUCGUGAGCGCCAACUAGUGAGCUUAAUGCCCU
rnacentral:rRNA from 1 species